GAAAUUAAUAUACUUAACUGAGUUAGAAACCAGGGUAGUACGCCUAGCAAUGAGUACUUAAACAAAUCCUCCUGGGGAUUCUGAUGUACACUCAAGUUUCGGAUACACUGGUCUAGAGUAAUUGAAUAAAUGGGAUUCUGCUGUACACUCAAGGUUCAGAUACACUGGUCUAGAGUAAUUGAAUUGUGGCUGGCUGAAGACAUGGGUAUUUUUUUCCCCAGGACAGCAGAAGCCUCCCCUGGACCUGCAAAUAGACCAGUGCAGGCAUUGAACAUCUGGGGCAAGACUAGAGUCUCCCAGCAGCCCCAGGCUUUAAAUCUGAUUCUCCUCCUUCAAUUACUGCUUAUCUUCAGAAAAGCCAUGCACCUCACGAACGUCACCUGUCAGUGGCCACCCUACCUUGAUCUUGCUGGUGGGUGAGGAUGAGAGAGUUCAUAAUGUAUGACCUGAAACUGGUCCUGAGGAAACAUCAGAUGGACCACGUUGAGCAUCACACUGCAGAAUGUAGGGCUGCAUUCUUCCAAACUGUUGGGAUGGUGAAAGUCAGGGAAAGACUGAGGAAUUGCUCCAAACUGGGGCAGACUGCAAAGAUGUGACAAUUAAAUGCAACGUGUAACUCGG
rnacentral:antisense_RNA from 1 species